rnacentral:rRNA from 1 species
GUGAGUGAUGAAGGCCUUCGGGUUGUAAAGCUCUUUUACCGGGGAAGAUAUGGACACUACCAGGAUCCGUUGCUGAUGAUAGUUCCCUGCCAACAACCGCCGGCUUACUACGAGCCAGCAGCCGCGGUAAUACGUAGGGUGCGAGCGUUAAUCGGAAUUACUGGGCGUAAAGCGUGCGCAGGCGGUUUCGUAAGACAGACGUGA